rnacentral:rRNA from 1 species
AAGCGUUUAUGACCAGACUUGGGCUUGGUUAAUCAUCUGGGGUUCUCCCCAGUGCACUUUUCCAGUCCAGGCCAGCAUCAGUUUUCCCCGGGGGAUAAAGACUUCGGGAAUGUGGCUCUCUUCGGGGAGUGUUAUAGCCC